CCUACGGGUGGCAGCAGUGAGGAAUAUUGGUCAAUGGCCGUAAGGCUGAACCAGCCAAGCCGCGUGAAGGAAGAAGGAUCUAUGGUUUGUAAACUUCUUUUAUAGGGGAAUAAAGGUAUCCACGUGUGGAUAUUUUCAUGUACCCUAUGAAUAAGCAUCGGCUAACUCCGUGCCAGCAGCCGCGGUAAUACGGAGGAUGCGAGCGUUAUACGGAUUUAGUGGGUUUAAAGGGUGCGUAGGUUGUUUUUUAAGUCAGCGGUGAAAGUUUGUGGCUCAACCAUAAAAUUGCCGUUGAUACUGGAAGACUUGAGUGUGUUAGGGGUAGGCAGAAUGCGAGGUGUAGCGGUGAAAUGCGUAGAUAUCACGCAGAACUCCGAUUGCGAAGGCAGCUUACUAAGCCAUAACUGACACUGAAGCACGAAAGCGUGGGGAGCAAACAGGAUUAGAUACCCCAGUAGUC
rnacentral:rRNA from 1 species